AUUACUGAGUGAGGGCUCACGCCCGACCUCCAACCCUUUGUGAACACAUCUUGUUGCUUCGGGGGCGACCCUGCCGGCACUACGUCGCCGGGCGCCCCCGAAGGUCUCCAAACACUGCAUCUUUGCGUCGGAGUUUAAAACAAAUUAAACAAAACUUUCAACAACGGAUCUCUUGGUUCUGGCAUCGAUGAAGAACGCAGCGAAAUGCGAUAAGUAAUGUGAAUUGCAGAAUUCAGUGAAUCAUCGAAUCUUUGAACGCACAUUGCGCCCUUUGGUAUUCCGAAGGGCAUGCCUGUUCGAGCGUCAUUUCACCACUCAAGCCUGGCUUGGUAUUGGGCGUCGCGGCUCCGCGCGCCUUAAAGUCUCCGGCUGAGCCAUUCGUCUCUAAGCGUUGUGGAUUUUCUAAUUCGCUUCGGAGUGCGGGUGGCCGCGGCCGUUAAAUCUUUAUUCAAAGGUUGACCUCGGAUCAGGUAGGGAUACCCGCUGAACU
rnacentral:rRNA from 1 species